ACGAACGCUGGCGGCGUGCUUAACACAUGCCAGUCGAACGGUGAAGCUCCAGCUUGCUGGAGUGGAUCAGUGGCGAACGGGUGAGUAACACGUGAGCAACCUGCCCCUGACUCUGGAAUAAGCGCUGGAAACGGCGUCUAAUACUGGAUACGAGAAGGGUCCGCAUGGGCACUUUCUGGAAAGUUUUUCGGUUGGGGAUGGGCUCGCGGCCUAUCAGCUUGUUGGUGAGGUAAUGGCUCACCAAGGCGACGACGGGUAGCCGGCCUGAGAGGGCGACCGGCAACCCGGGGAGAGAGACAGGCCCCGGCCCCGCAGGGGGGGAGGCGGGGGGAAUGUUGGAAAAAGGGGAGAAGCCCGGAUGCGGCGGCGCGGGGGGGGGGAUACCGGCUUUGGGUUUGAAACCCUCUUCCAGCGGGAAAGAAGCAAAAGUGAGGGUACCUGAAAAAGAAGCCCCGGCAAACUCCGGC
rnacentral:rRNA from 1 species